rnacentral:rRNA from 1 species
UAGGGAAUAUUGCAAAAUGGGCGAAAGCCCGAUGCAGCAACGCCGCGUGGGCGAUGAAGGCCUUUGGGUCGUAAAGCCCUUUUUGAGGGGAUGAGGAAGGACAGUACCCUCAGAAUAAGCCUCGGCUAACUACGUGCCAGCAGCCGCGGUAAAACGUAGGAGGCGAGCGUUAUCCGGAUUUACUGGGCGUAAAGCGCGUGCAGGCGGAUUGGAGAGUUGGAUGUGAAAGCUCCCGGCUUAACUGGGAGAGGUCGUUCAAUACUUCCAGUCCUGAGUGCAGUAGAGGGAAGUGGAAUUCCGGGUGUAGUGGUGAAAUGCGUAGAUAUCCGGAGGAACACCAGUGGCGAAAGCGGCUUCCUGAACUGUAACUGACGCUCAGACGCGAAAGCUAGGGUAGCAAACG